rnacentral:lncRNA from 1 species
GAUCCAUUUCCCAGUUUGGGCAGGAAAACCUAUUUUCUUCCCCAAGACACCUAUCUUCACUUUUUCUUUUUAUUCUCCAAUAGGGGCCCUUGGAAGGUUAAAGCUCAAGUGGAACUUCUUUGAAAAAUAUCCACAGCCCUUACUGAAGUGCUCUGGAAUUUCUCUGCAGUCCUGGACUAACUAGCGUCAGGUAUUUCUGGAAAUCAGAAGACAGUUCCCAUAAAACCUGGAAAUUGGGAAAAUAUAGAGCCUAUAGAAUAUGAUACACAAUGUCACUAUAAUAUUUUAAAAGCAAAAUAUGGAUAAAGUGAACACUGACAACAGAAUUGAAUGGAGAAUGAGCUCAGAACAUAUAGCAGAGCCCCCUUCCACGACCACCACUAGCAUCUUGCAGAAUUGAAAGUCAGAACAAAGGGGUGAGAAGAGACCAACAGAACACAAG